AUACUUACCUGGCAGGGGAGUCGCCAUGGUCACAAAGGUGGUUUUCCCAGGACGAGGCUUAUCCAUUGCAUUCGGAUGUGCUCACCCCUGUAAUUUCCCCAAAUGUGGGAAACUCAACUGCAUAAUUUGUGGUAGCGGGAACUGCAUUUGAGCAAGG